CUAGAUGAUUUGGAACCGAAUUUGUCAGAGAGGGAUUCUCAGAAUCAAACUGCCUGCAGCGCCGAAAGCAGCCAGUCUCCGUCACACUAUUGUAGACCGGACAGACCCAAAAGAAGGAUCACGGGUGCUUCGUGUACUCUGAACGAGGACAUCGAUGCUAUUCUGCCUUUCUGUUCGAACGGGUUUACCCUAACACCACCCAGGAACCAAGCGACAUAUUUCCGCCCCAAAACAUCGGCGCAAGUGCAUUGCGAAGAAUCUCCCAGGCCCAAAAAGUUACUUCUUCAAGAAACGGCCCUACACGGACAUGACUCCUCCCCGGCGUAUAACGGCACAGAAGACCAUACACACCGAGAACCCGCAGAGGAUUUCGGAGCGCCUGACAUUCACAGUA